rnacentral:sRNA from 1 species
ACAAAUGGCGACUAGGGUUCCGGCCCCUCCGCUCGGGGGCGUCUGGUCCGAGAGUUUCCGGCCCCGUGGCUCGCGGGGUUACACGGCGGGAUAAAAGCCCGGGAGGU